rnacentral:lncRNA from 1 species
ACCUGCCCCUGGAGCUGGGGUUGGAGCAGCUGUUUCAGGAGCUGGCUGGAGAGGAGGAAGAACUCAAUGCCUCUCAGCUCCAGGCCUUACUAAGCAUUGCCCUGGAGCCUGGCUUCCACCUGAACAACCAGCUGACCCAGACCCUCACCAGCCGCUACCGGGAUAGCCGUCUGCGUGUGGACUUCGAGCGGUUCGUGUCCUGUGUGGCCCACCUCACCUGCAUCUUCUGCCACUGCAGCCAGCACCUGGAUGGGGGUGAGGGGGUCAUCUGCCUGACCCACAGACAGUGGAUGGAGGUGGCCACCUUCUCCUAGGAUCUCCGGAUGGGCGCACCUGCUGCUCAGGGCAGGGUUGCUGAGCAAGACCACCUCCCUAGGCCUUGCCUGGCAUGGGUGCCACUCUCUCUGGCAUCCACCUGUCUGGGGCUAGUCUCUGGCCCUCACUGCUCACGGCCGGGUGACCACUCUGGCCUGCGUACUCCUCACUCA